ensembl:snRNA U6 U6 spliceosomal RNA
GUGCUCACUUCAGAAGCACAUAUACUGGAAUUAGAACUAUAGAGAGAUUAGCACGUCCCCUGCACAAGGGUGACAUGAAAAUGAGCAGUAGUCCAUAUUUUC